AAGCAGAAGAAGAAGAAGAAGAAGGGAUGCACGCAUUCAGCAGGUGGUGCAGCAUGGCGCAGAGGUGGCGCAGACAGGAUCGCAAAGUAUUGGUUUUUACAAAUCUUUACAAACCAUUUAGCCUUUAAAUUGAGGGUUUCAGAUGUUCCUGCUGAGGCAGAGCGCAUGGCGCAGGUAGACGUGCACUAGUCUCCUAAUGAGAAGACCGCUUGCAUCAUGGCUGCUUUGGACUAGGUACCAGUGUAGUCGAGAGUCUUUGCCAAGAUGGUAAGUAGAAGUCAGUAGAGUGUCCUUUGUGACAUGUUGCUUAGAAUGGCAGCUACCUGAAGCAGCACCUGGGGGUCAGCCACACGGUGCCGAACCAGGAGGAGUUCUGGCUCCUGAUGAAAUGUGGCAGUGCACGAUCGCCUCCACUGCGACCUGUGGGAAGAGGAACCACCUCACAGACGCCAUGUUUGCAGUGGAGUUUGUUUAAUAUUAGAAUUCUCUGUUGAUGGGAGCGUGACGCUAAGAGGGCGGUGAAGGAGCGUCGCCGCUCCCAGCCGGAGCCGCCCUGGACACGAGGAGCCUCCGUCGACUAGGGGGCUGAGAGCUCAUCAUAUUCCAUUAAUUUUCCCAUCCAACUAUACAGAAAUAUAACUUUAGCAGAGGAGGACCACCCGGAGUUUGCCCUCGAGUUCCAGGAUUCCGAGGAGGAGGCUCAAGCUUCACCUGUUUUGCCACACAGCCCCAUCCCUGGGCCCCCCACGGCUCCCCUGCUGCUGGUCCAGGUGUGGCCUGCCCACAUUUGUUUUCGACCCCGGUCCGCAGCGGCUCAGUUACAUUUUCACCUUUUUGUUUCUUGUGGUUGUUAGAAUAAUAUAAACUGUUUAUCAACUGCAGAGAGGAUCGCAGCUGAUUUUCAGCGCUUCCGCCAGGGGGGGGCAAGGUCGGGGGGGGCGCAGAAAACGCCUUGGCAGUCCACAAGCGCUGCGCUUCCCCCACGCAGGUGGACAAGUUGCGGGCGCAAGUAUUUUGCAUCGGAUGCUUUUCUUGAGCAUGGAAUGUGUUGGAACUGAGAGUCAGAUUUUAUCACUUGUAACUCCUCCCCUUUUCCCACUGAUGGCCCGGACACCCCUUCGGAUUGUUCAUCCUCCCAGGAAGAAGAAAUCCGCCCUAAAAGAAGGCGGAGGCUGUUCAGCGACCCCCCCCACCCCCCGUAAAUAAUUGUUCAUAGCUGUUUCCCCCCCCACUGUAAAUAAAUGUUGAUAAUUGUUCCUUUUUGUCUCUGCCUUAUGCUUUUGUUGGCGCUGACAUCUGAAGAAUUAAAUCAAAAUGUGGAAGCACUUUAUCGGGUGAUAUCUCCUUGACCUUUUGGCCCCACUUUUGGGACCUUUCCCUUGGGUCUACGGGGGUCAAACGAUGAAUUUGACCUUUUUCCUUCUAAAGUGAUUUCUCCGCAACGCAAGGGGCUAGGCGCGCGGGCCCAACGGUU